rnacentral:ncRNA from 1 species
GUAGAAUGGCCUUGCUGCCAUAAUCAACAGAAAUUCAUCCUUUUGUCGCUCUGGUUCGUCCCUAUCCAUUCUAUCCAAUCAUUUUUCUAUCUAUUUUUGACGGAGGUUUAUGCAUCCAUCCUUGAAUCGGGUUAAAAUUCUUGAACUAGGACAUGGCAGUCGACGACAACGUUAAAAGGUCCAUAGAAGUCAGCGGGAACCUCGGGAAGAGUUAUUUUUUCUGUUUAAUAGCCUGGCCUCCCUAGAAUAGUCUCAACCAGAUAUAAGGUCCAGUGGUUGGAAGAGAAACGCAUGUCACUUUCUAUCCAAUGCGCUGCCUGCAGCCAUUGAAAAUUUGGAGGACCGAAUAUUAUCCUUGCCCGGUCAUACUCAUAACCUCAUCAGGUCUCUAAGGUGAACAACCUCU